rnacentral:rRNA from 1 species
GUAGGUGGCAAGCGUUGUCCGGAAUUAUUGGGCGUAAAGCGCGCGCAGGCGGUUCUUUAAGUCUGAUGUGAAAGCCCACGGCUCAACCGUGGAGGGUCAUUGGAAACUGGAGAACUUGAGUACAGAAGAGGAAAGCGGAAUUCCACGUGUAGCGGUGAAAUGCGUAGAGAUGUGGAGGAACACCAGUGGCGAAGGCGGCUUUCUGGUGUGUAACUGACGCUGAGGCGCGAAAGCGUGGGGAGCAAACAGGGAUUAGAUACCCUGGUAGUCCACGCCGUAAACGAUGAGUGCUAAGUGUUAGGGGGGUUUCCGCCCCCUUAGUGCUGCAGCUAACGCAUUAAGCACUCCGCCUGGGGAGUACGGCCGCAAGGCUG